GGGCCGUUAGCUCAGUCGGUAGAGCAGCUGGCUUUUAACCAGUUUGUCGCAAGUUCGAUUCUUGCACGGCCCACCA
rnacentral:tRNA from 1 species